AUAAGGUGGCUGAGUUAUAGGCGUUAGAUUGUAAAUCUAAGUAGAGGUGUGAUCUUUCUUAUUAG
rnacentral:tRNA from 1 species